GUGUUAUAUGAAAGGAGAGAAAGCUUAGAACUUUCCUCAUAAGGACAGAAGGGACCGCUGGGCCUAACACCUUUUAUAUGGUUAAAGCAUUGCCACACUUUGCAACAUCUAACCACUUCAACAG
rnacentral:ncRNA from 1 species